UAGGGUUCUUAUAGUUGAAAUACAACGGUGGUUUUUCAUAUCACUGGUCGUGGGUAGAGCCAUGUAAGAAUA
rnacentral:tRNA from 1 species